AUUACAGCAUCUCUGUGGACACCAACCCAUACAGAUUUUGGUGCAGGUAGCGGGGCAUUUGGACUGGCCAGGAGAAUUUGGAAGAAAGCUUCUUAAUACCGGUGCUACUUUUUCGGUGCGUGGACCUAAAUCAGACAAUAAAGCAAGCUUCGUAGAGACAUCAGUUGAUGACAAUGACUCCAUCGUAAAGGCGCUGGUUACAUGAAAAGUUGCUUGCACAACCGUGAUAAGAGAAGCCAGCAAAUUGGCGGUGUACGAGCUGACAAGAACGAGGGCUGCAAGGUUUGCCACCACCAUCACGCUCGGAACUGCGUAAGUUUUGGCCUGAAUUUUGUGAACAACAAUUAAACGCACACCGCUGCUACUUAUGGCUGCCAAACCCGAGCCAAGGUCCUCCAAUAAGCUGUUUUCACGGAGG